rnacentral:rRNA from 1 species
UACGAAGGGUGCAAGCGUUUAUUCGGAUUUAUUGGGUGUAAAGGGUGUGUAGACGGCAUGUUAAGUCCGCUGUUAAAUUUCCCGGCCUAACUGGGAGCCAGCGGUGGAUACUGGCGUGCUAGAGGAUGGAAGAGAGAAGUGGAAUUCCCGGAGUAGCGGUAAAAUGCGUAGAUCUCGGGAGGAACACCAAUGGCGAAGGCAGCUUCUUGGUCCAUAUCUGACGGUUGAGACACGAAAGCGUGGGGGAGCAAACAGG